UACGUAGGGUGCGAGCGUUGUCCGGAAUUAUUGGGCGUAAAGGGCGCGUAGGCGGCCGCUUGCGUCGGAUGUGAAAGCCCGGGGCUCAACCCCGGAACGGCAUCCGAUACGGGGCGGCUCGAGACCGAGAGAGGUGAGUGGAAUACCCAGUGUAGAGGUGAAAUUCGUAGAUAUUGGGUGGAACACCGGUGGCGAAAGCGGCUCACUGGCUCGGUUCUGACGCUGAGGCGCGAAAGCGUGGGGAGCAAACAGG
rnacentral:rRNA from 1 species